rnacentral:piRNA from 1 species
CCAGAGCUCUGGGGACGACUCAUAUCCCACG